rnacentral:ncRNA from 1 species
GCAAAGGCGUUGACGGGGAGGAGUAGAAAGCCAACCCUUAUAAAAGAGAGGAAGGCCGCCGGGUGAAAGCCUUCUUAAGGGUAGCUUUCGAAGGUCGCCCCUGAGCCGUCCCGGUGAAAAAGUAGCCGGGGCCGGUUUUUCCGUUAUAUUUUCGAGAGCCCGGAUUUGAAAGUCCGGGAACUAAGGUGGUACCGCGAAAAAGGCCUUUCGUCCUUAAA